rnacentral:rRNA from 1 species
CGGUUAAAAAGCUCGUAGUUGGAUUUCUGUUGAGGACGGCCGGUCCGCACUAUGUGCGUGUAUCUGGUUCGGCCUCGGCAUCCUCUUGAGGAACGUUUCUGCGCUUGAUUGCGUGGAGCAGUAUUCAAGACUUUUACUUUGAGGAAAUUAGAGUGUUCACGGCAGGCAAGCGCCUUGAAUAUGUUAGCAUGGAAUAAUAAUAUAGGAUCUUGGUUCUAUUUGUUGGUUUCUAGGGCUAAGGUAAUGAUUAAUAGGGAUAAUUGGGGGCAUUUGUAUUAACGCGUCAGAGGUGGAAUUCUUGGAUUGCGUUACGACAAACUACUGCGAAAGCAUUUGCCAAGGAUGUUUUCAUUGAUCAAGAACGAAAGUAUGGGGAUCGAAGAUGAUUAGAUACCGUCGUAGUCUAUACCAUAAACUAUGCCGACUAGGGAUUGGAGGUCGUUCUUUUUAUGACUCCUUCAGCACCUUAUGAGAAAUCAAAGUCUUUGGGUUCCGGGGGGAGUAUAGUCGCAAGGCUGAAACUUAAAGGAAUUGACGGAAGGGCACCACCAAGAGUGGGGGCCUGCGGGCUUAAUUUGACUCAACACGGGGAAAACUCACC